rnacentral:rRNA from 1 species
AUUGAACGCUAGCGGCAUGCCUUACACAUGCAAGUCGAACGGCAGGCACGGGGGCAACCCUGGUGGCGAGUGGCGAACGGGUGAGUAAUGCAUCGGAACGUGCCCAUCGAUGGGGGAUAACUGCGCGAAAGCGUUGCUAAUACCGCAUACGACCUACGGGUGAAAGCAGGGGACCGCAGGGCCUUGCGUCGAUGGAGCGGCCGAUGCCGGAUUAGCUAGUUGGUGAGGUAAAGGCUCACCAAGGCGACGAUCCCGUAGCUGGUCUGAGAGGACGACCCAGCCACACUGGGACUGAGACACGGCCCAGACUCCUACGGGAGGCAGCAGUGGGGAAUCUUGGACAAUGGGCGAAAGCCUGAUCCAGCAAUGCCGCGUGUGGGAAGAAGGCCCUCGGGUUGUAAACCACUUUUGGCGGGAAAGAAAUGGUCUGUGCUAAUACCACGGAUUGAUGACGGUACCCGCAGAAUAAGCACCGGCUAACUACGUG